UACUUGACUCUCUCCAGCGCAAGUGAAACUAAAUAGUGUAAUGAAUGAAACUAAACCACGGUGCAGGUGCAAGAACGCUUUCUCCAUCAACUACACUCUCCAAAGUUGCAGGGAAACUUGAAGGAAUGCAAGAAGCAGGAUUCACCGAGCUUGGUCUAAUAUUUGGCUGUGAGUCUCUGCAUCUGUUUCCAUCAACUGCUGGAGGAAGCCUCCCUGAUGACAAUUGGUCUUGGCAGCAAUCUAUGAGUAUAACAGAAUAUCAUUGGGCAUCAUUAUAUUGACUUUUUUUCUCCA